rnacentral:rRNA from 1 species
CCUACGGGGGGCUGCAGUGGGGAAUAUUGGACAAUGGGGGGAACCCUGAUCCAGCCAUGCCGCGUGUGUGAAGAAGGCCCUCGGGUUGUAAAGCACUUUCAGUGAGGAAGAACGCCUGGUGGUUAAUACCCAUCAGGAAAGACAUCACUCACAGAAGAAGCACCGGCUAACUCCGUGCCAGCAGCCGCGGUAAUACGGAGGGUGCGAGCGUUAAUCGGAAUUACUGGGCGUAAAGCGCGCGUAGGUGGCUUGAUAAGCCGGUUGUGAAAGCCCCGGGCUCAACCUGGGAACGGCAUCCGGAACUGUCAAGCUAGAGUGCAGGAGAGGAAGGUAGAACUCCCGGUGUAGCGGUGAAAUGCGUAGAGAUCGGGAGGAAUACCAGUGGCGAAGGCGGCCUUCUGGACUGACACUGACACUGAGGUGCGAAAGCGUGGGUAGCAAACAGGAUUAGAUACCCGAGUAGUC